rnacentral:rRNA from 1 species
CAAGUUGAACGCGAUAUUCCGGGUAGCAAUAUUCGGAGUGUUGAGUAGCGCAAGGGUGCGUAACACGUGGGAAUCUGCCCUGAAGUUGGGGAUAACUCGCUGAAAGGCGAGCUAAUACCGAAUGUGACCGCAAGGUUAAAGCUGGGGAUCGUAAGACCUGGCGCUUCUGGAUGAGCCCGCGGCCUAUCAGCUCGUUGGCGGGGUAAUGGCCCACCAAGGCGAAGACGGGUAGCUGGUCUGAGAGGACGACCAGCCACACUGGAACUGAGACACGGUCCAGACACCUACGGGUGGCAGCAGUCGAGAAUUUUUCUCAAUGGGCGCAAGCCUGAAGGAGCGACGCCGCGUGGGGGAUGAAGGGUUUCGAUCCGUAAACCCCUGUCAUUUGUGAACAAUGGUUAUUAUUUAAAAGAUGAUGACUUGAUAGUAAUGAAAGAGGAAGGGACGGCUAACUCUGUGCCAGCAGCCGCGGUAAUACAGAGGUCCCGAGCGUUGUUCGGAUUCACUGGGCGUAAAGGGUGCGUAGGUGGCUUUGAAAGUUUGAUGUGAAAUCUCCGGGCUUAACCCGGAAAAGGCAUUGAAUACUGCAGAGCUGGAGGUUUGGAGGGGGGACUGGAAUUCUCGGUGUAGCAGUGAAAUGCGUAGAUAUCGAGAGGAAUACCAGUGGCGAAGGCGAGUCCCUGGACAACACCUGACACUGAGGCACGAAAGCCGGGGGAGCAAACAGGAUUAGAUACCCUGGUAGUCCCGGCCCUAAACGGUGCGCGUUUGCUGUAAGAGGAAUCGACCCCUUUUGUGGCGAAGCUAACGCGAUAAACGCGCCGCCUGGGGAGUACGGUCGCAAGA